GGGAGAUCAGGUGACUCCGGGCUUCCAGCGUUUGAGGCGCUGGUGACGUCAGGCGCGCUGCUGCGGCUCAGUGGCUCGCGGCAGGUGCGGCUCUGUUCCCGGAGCCGGGUCCAGUCUUCUUCGGUCGAGACCGGGUCAGUAACCGGCCGCCGCGCGGAGCAGAGAGAAUCAUUUGUGAUGAAAAAGACCUUGAUUGGUUCAGCAGAUUGGAGCUGGGACAAGACAAACUUUUCUUGAAGGACAUGAGCUAU
rnacentral:lncRNA from 1 species